CACCUAUUUUACUGGACCUGUGGAGCAUGAACUUUCCUUCUGGAAUCAACCAGCAAAGACCCGACUUUCUCCAGGACCCAGUACCUUCUUGCUUGUCAGCUGUUCGUCGUUCACUGGCAAGUCCCAUCUAAUGGCCAGGUAAAAAGAUCCCUGCCUAUUCAGUAUACCAGACAUCUUAAAGUUUUUAGCAAAUGAGGACAUCAUCAGCCUUCCUUCCAGUCCAGUGAAUUUCAACAUCUAGUUUUCCUCUCCAGUCUUCUUACAGCCUGAGCUUAUACACAAGGGAUUUAGGACUACUAGAAGGCUUGAUGUUUUUUCAAAUGCAUGUUCUACUAAAGACAGUGAUGCACACUUUGCUAGCAUAUUUCACAGCUGUAAGCUAACAGAUG
rnacentral:lncRNA from 1 species